rnacentral:rRNA from 1 species
UCGAGAAUCUUCGGCAAUGGGCGCAAGCCUGACCGAGCGACGCCGCGUGGAGGAUGGAGGCCUUCGGGUUGUAAACUCCUGUCGAGGGGGAACAAGGUGCCGUGCAGAGCGGCGCUUGAGUGAUCCCUGGAGGAAGCACGGGCUAAGUUCGUGCCAGCAGCCGCGGUAAGACGAACCGUGCAAACGUUAUUCGGAAUCACUGGGCUUAAAGCGCGUGUAGGCGGGCCGGCACGUCGACUGCUGAAAGCCCCCGGCUCAACCGGGGAACGGGCAUCGAUACGACCGGCCUGGAGGGGGGUAGGGGGAGCCGGAACUCACGGUGGAGCGGUGAAAUGCGUUGAGAUCGUGAGGAACGCCCGUGGCGAAAGCGGGCUCCUGGACCCCACCUGACGCUGAGACGCGAAAGCCAGGGGAGCGAACG